UGGUUCCGGCAUNGAUGAAGAACGCAGCGAAAUGCGAUAAGUAAUGUGAAUUGCAGAAUUCAGUGAAUCAUCGAAUCUUUGAACGCACAUUGCGCCCUUUGGCAUUCCGAGGGGCAUGCCCGUCCGAGCGUCAUUUCAAACGUCAGGCUCGGCCUGGUAUUGGGCGCGGUCUCGUCGACCCGCCCGCAACCCGUUGAGCGGUACCGCCUGGCCCCGAGCGUAGCAAGAACCCCACUCGCUCUCGAGGGCCGCGGCGGCGCCCGCCGGUGAACGAUCCACCUAGAGUUUGACCUCGGAUCGGGUAGGGAUACCCGCUGA
rnacentral:misc_RNA from 1 species